ACGAACGCUGGCGGCGUGCUUAACACAUGCAAGUCGAACGGAAAGGCCCUGCUUGCAGGGUACUCGAGUGGCGAACGGGUGAGUAACACGUGGGUGAUCUGCCCUGCACUUCGGGAUAAGCCUGGGAAACUGGGUCUAAUACCGGAUAGGAGUCAUUUUUAGUGUGAUGGUUGGAAAGUUUUUUCGGUGUAGGAUGAGCUCGCGGCCUAUCAGCUUGUUGGUGGGGUAAUGGCCUACCAAGGCGGCGACGGGUAGCCGGCCUGAGAGGGUGGACGGCCACAUUGGGACUGAGAUACGGCCCAGACUCCUACGGGAGGCAGCAGUGGGGAAUAUUGCACAAUGGGCGCAAGCCUGAUGCAGCGACGCCGCGUGGGGGAUGACGGCCUUCGGGUUGUAAACUCCUUUCGCUAGGGACGAAGCUUUUUGUGACGGUACCUAGAUAAGAAGCACCGGCUAACUACGUG
rnacentral:rRNA from 1 species